UCCCCGGUAGCUCAGCGGCAGAGCUGCUCCCUGUUAAGGAGAUGGUCGUAGGUUCGAAUCCUACCCGGGGAG
rnacentral:tRNA from 1 species